rnacentral:rRNA from 1 species
UGGGGAAUCGUUCCGCAAUGGACGAAAGUCUGACGGAGCAACGCCGCGUGUAUGAUGAAGGUCUUCGGAUUGUAAAGUACUGUCAUUGGGGAAGAACGGUUUUCUUGAAAAGAUUGAGAAGACAUGACGGUACCCAAGGAGGAAGCCCCGGCUAACUACGUGCCAGCAGCCGCGGUAAUACGUAGGGGGCAAGCGUUGUCCGGAAUUAUUGGGCGUAAAGGGCGCGUAGGCGGGCCUUUAAGUCCGGUGUGAAAGAUCAGGGCUCAACCCUGAGAGUGCAUCGGAAACUGGAGGCCUUGAGGACAGGAGAGGAAAGUGGAAUUCCACGUGUAGCGGUGAAAUGCGUAGAUAUGUGGAGGAACACCAGUGGCGAAGGCGACUUUCUGGACUGUAACUGACGCUGAGGCGCGAAAGCGUGGGGAGCAAACAGGAUUAGAUACCCUGGUAGUCCACGCCGUAAACGAUGAGUGCUAGGUGUAGAGGGUAUCGACCCCCUUCUGUGCCGCAGUUAACACAAUAAGGCACUCCCGCCUGGGGGAGUACGGCCGCAAGGUUUGAAACUCAAAUGAAUUGACGGGGUCAUAGCUG